rnacentral:rRNA from 1 species
GACGAACGCUGGCGGCGUGCUUAACACAUGCAAGUCGAGCGGUAAGGCCCUUUCGGGGGUACACGAGCGGCGAACGGGUGAGUAACACGUGGGUGACCUGCCCUCAGCUCUGGGGAUAAGCCUGGGAAACUGGGUCUAAUACUGGAUAUGACUCCACGGUGCAUGUCGUGGGGUGGAAAGCCUUGUGCGGCUGGAGGAGUCGGGGCCCGCGGCCUAUCAGCUUGGUUGGNGGGGUGAUGGCCUACCAAGGCGACGACGGGUAGCCGGCCUGAGAGGGCGACCGGCCAC